UUGAAAGGCUUAGCCAGGCUCUAAUGACUUCUGUGGAACAACUUCAAUGUUCUCACUGAGAUAGAAUCUACUCUUUUCACCUUUAUGUACCAUUUUCGGCAAAAAUAUUGUGCUUUCCUAUCCUUGGAGAAGUGGACCUUUUAUUCUUUAUCUUCAGUGAUGGGAUAUUCAUUGUAUUGAAGGAGAAUCUGGGAAGAGGCCCUGGACCAAAAGCAGGUAUUGAUGAACAUUAUAUGUCAUCCAAAAAGAGUAUGUUCCAACAAAAAGAUGACCACAAGGG